AAGAGAAAAUGCAAAUUGAAUUUCAUUGGCCUGUAGCCCCCUUAGAUCUCCAUGCUCCCAGAGGUGGUGACACACUUGUAUUCAGCGGCCAUCACUGGUCUUGCUUGUAAAAGUCCGAUUUCGAUGUGGGCACGCUUUCCUGAGUGCCUCGAGUUUCUGGUAUUACCCUAAACUUCCUCUUCGCUUUGCAGUGAUGGAGAAGUAGGAACACCCCACUGACAGGAAUGGUAGCCUCCCAUGCAGAAGCGGGUUAACUAAUUUCGUUUUCCCAGUUGGGAUACCACAACCUUAGCAUGUGGAUUUAUCUUGAAACCAGGAAGCCCUGACAUACAUUGCUGCCCAAACAAGAGGAAUCCCAGCGUUCUAUCCUAUAACGAACAACAAAAAAGCAUAUAUCCAGAAGAUAUCUAUCCUGAUGAUUGCAAAGUGCUUAAGCCUAGGCUCUGAGAAAAAGCACCAACUGCCUUCAAGUUCUUCUGGGUAUUCUGUUCUACGUUUUCUUCACAUCUCCUUUGACUGAAAAUUUCCAGCGCAUCUGUGUUUAUGGACUGAAUGUUUAUGUCCCCCCCACCAGCCCAAAUUUGUAUGUCGAAGCCCUAGCCCCAACAUAACUGUAUUUGGAAAUAGGGUAGGACCCUGAUCCAGUAGGAUUCGUGUCCUUAUAAGAAGAAGCACCAUUGGGGCGCCUGGGUGGCUCAGUCGGUUGAGCGUCCGGCUUUGGCCCAGGUCAUGAUCUCGCAGUCUGUGAGUUCGAGCCCCGCAUCGGGCUCUGUGCUGACAGCUCAGAGCCUGGAGCCUGCUUCGGAUUCUGUGUCCCCCUCUCUCUCUGUCCCUCCCCCACUCAUGCUCUGUCUCUGUCUCAGAAAUAAAUAAACAUUAAAAAAAUUAAAAAAAAAAAAAAGAAGAGGCACCAUCAGAGCACUCUCCUGUCCCUCUCUCCCUGUCUCCCUCUCCCUCUCCCUAGCACAGGCAAGAAAAGAUCACAUGAACACAAAGCAAGAUGGCAGCCACCUACAAGCCAAGAGAAGAGGCCGCAGAAUGAAACCUAUUUUGCCAACACCUUGAUCUGGGACUUCCAACCUCUAGAACUGUGAGAAAAUAAGUUUCUGUUGUUUAAGCCAUCCAGUUUAUGACAAUUUCUUAUGGUAGCCCAAACAGAUUAAGACCCCCCCCCUCCCCCAGCAAUGUUUUCCCAGGCAACAAUUGCUGGUGCCCCUCCCCCCCCUUAAGGACUGCUUGCGUCCCCACACAUGGGUACGACUGGAGAGAUCUUGGCUCUCUAAGGGGCCCACACCACCACAGCUUGAGGAGGAUGCAACACAGCCCAAGGCCCCAGAGGAUGACUGAGGACCAGAUACUAAGGGAGGCUUUUUUUCAGCCAUCAACCCCUAGAGGAAUAUGUGUGUGUGAGUGUGUAUGUGUAUGCGUGUGUGCGUGUAUGUCUGUUGAGGGGUAACUUUUUCAAAGGGUCCAUACUAGAAAUGUCCUCGAGCCCAGGGCUGCGUGGGACUUGUUCUCCACCCUGAAGUAUGCAACCAGAGUGUGAAUGUUGGCCUUAGAAGAUACCAGCUCAGUGAGGGCUGUAUCUGGGGAAGCUGUUCGAUUUCAUGGAAAGAGCAUUGGCACUAGAGUCAGACAAAGCUGGGUUCCAAUUCAAGCUUUUUAGGGCAUGCAUCAAAAUAGUAUAAGCAAAGGCUGUAUUGGCUCAUGUCACUGAAAAAUCCAAGGAGUUGUUAUGCUUUCAGGCACAACAACAUCAAGGCCCUCAAAAGAUGUUAUUGGAAAUCUGUGUUCUAUCUUUCCAUGCUAUUUCUCCAAUGGCUUCACUCUGGGGUCUUCCUCAGUAGCUAUAGACUCAUGUGAUCCUUAGUGCUCAGGAUGGGUGGAGGAAGGAGAGAGUCUCUUUCCAAGGGGUACAACAAAGACUUGGUGACAUUGCUGAUUGGCCAAUUCUAAAUCACAUAUUCACCCCUGGGCGGGAUGGGGCUGGUGGGGACUCCCAGUUAAACCUGGAAGAGAUGAUACUGUUACUUAAGGAGGAAGUGAGGCAAGCCAGGCCAAAUCAACAGAUGUCUACAUAGACAUUAAAGGACUCUGAUUCUAAGCAAGUUGUUUAACCUCUUUGAUCCUCAAGUUCCGCUUUUAUAGAAUGGCUAUACGAGUACCUGCCACCAAGGAAGCUACACAAAGCUCAAGGCACAGAAUGGAGGUGUAAUAACUGUUAACUUUCUUCUUGCUUCCUUUUCCUGCUCCUGGCCUUCUCCUGGAGGCCUGGGAAUGUACCAGGUUUGCCUUGAUUGGUAUUGAGGAUAUCAUGCUGUUUCAGGUUGGGGAUCGUUGAGCAGUAUGAAGACUUCAGAAUACACUCAAUGGAGUUCCCGUGCCAGGGGUCUGUUGCAUUUGGCAAUGGUGGCCUCCAGGGCACAGUGGACUCUGAGUUGGGCUCUUCUCUGGUUGGGCUCAGCCCUGGGACAUCCGGAAAGGCUGGCGGAAGCCUUGCAAAGGGCAAGUGACGUCUGCAGUUGUCUGGAAAGGAGAGCUUACAACUGCAGCAGCUGUGGGCUCAUGGGGAUUAGCCAGGGCUAAGAAGGAGGCAGGACUCCGAGUGCACCAAGGAUUUUGGAACGUCCUAAGCCUGGGAAAAUGAAGUGGACCCUGGCUACUCCCAAUAGGAGCACUGGAAACAACCCAAAUGCAUAUCAAUAGCAGAUUAAACAAUCAUGCUAAUUCCAUACAAGGGGACUCUAUGGUGUUAAGAAAAGAGAGAAGCCGUUCUCCAUGUAUUGAUGUCCAAAGAUGUCCACUACUGAGAGCCAAGUUUAAAAAGAAAAAGGCAAAGUAAAAACAGCAUUACGUAUGUUCUCAUUUCAAUUUAUAUGUACUAUAAAGAUCCAUAAUAGCAUGCGCUGAAAAAAAGUAUCUGGAUGAAUAUAAACCAAGCAGUGUUUAUCUCUGAGGUUAUAGGGACUUUCACUGUUUUAUGGCAUGCACUUUGUAAUUUUUAUUACAGCCAUGUGUUACUUUUAUUAUCAGAAAUAACAACAAUGAUUCUUAAAAUAAGAAAAAAAAUAUUGAUCAGAAGAAAGUACUGCACACUCAUUCUUAAAAACAACUGACACCAGAGAUCUUGUGAUGUUAUUCUUGAAAAUCAAGGGAUUCUACUGAACAGGUUUGCACACCAGUGACUGGAUUUGGGAAAGUUGUUUUUGGUUUUUUUUGGGUUGUUUUUUUUUGUUUGUUUUUUGGUUUUUGGUUUUCUUGCUUAUGUAGUGCAAUGCUGCUGCACAUGAUUAAAACAUAUUUUUUUCCAUGGGUUGGAGAAGUAGUAGCCUAAUAGCUUAUUUCCUAAGAUUUCCACUAGAAAAGCCCACAAGUUGUUUUAAGAUGCUUACAUGAACACAAAUUAGAAAGUGACAAGCUUUUUUUAUUAUACAUUAGUGAGAAGGAGGAAGAGGGGCGAGAGGGAGAAGGAGGAAAGGGGAGGCGCAGAAAAGCAAUUGGAUGCUCUAUUCAGGAAAUGGUAUUCCUUUUUACCUCCAUCAGUGGAGAUGCAUUCUGCAAGCUUCCAGCUAGAAGAAGGUGCUUGUAGUUUUUUUCAGACCCUCUCUUUUCUAUUUAACUCUUCAGGCACCAAGUUUUCAUGAAUUUGUACACUUUCUAAAACUUUGGGAUGACAGUGGAAACUAUUCUUUUCUUAUAGAAUGGUUUAUGGUGCCCUCUUUUGGAUUUCCAUUUAAAUUCCCAGGCUGGAGCAUGACCCCUGCCGCUCUGAGUUGAACCUAAGAAAUGUGACCAGAACUGGGUUUCCACACAGCUGGUUGCCUGUUUUGUUUGGUUUGGUAUAUGAGGAGUAGCGAUUCCAAUUCCCACUCGUGUCUGGCUAGUCCUGGGUCCUGGAAGGGACCAAGCUGGUGAUCCCUUCCAGCUUUCCCAUGUAUAGUGAGGAAUUGUAGGCUGGGGAUGAAAAGGUUGUCUCUGCGGCCGAGAACAGCCAGCAAAACUCCGCUCUCCUGUUAUUCCAGUUAGCUACCUGACUUCCGCUCUUCCCAUGGCUUUAUAAUGAAAAUUGUUCAAAUGAAGAUUUAUGACUUUAUUUUGGUGGGAUGUCUCAGGCGUUUGGUUUGAGGGAUGAAAUGCAUACUUAGCUUUCCACUCAUGCAUAGCCUAGCUAGUCUUUUCAUUACUGCAUUUGGCUCAGUCUUUGCCCAUCAAGCUCUGGCCUCCUUCUUAGGAUAAGUCAUGGCUUUGACUCCAGAGGCUGCCUGAGCCUCCUGCCCCUCUGAUGCUGCUUCCCUGGGCUGCCAGCGUUGGCCUGGAUCACAGGGCCAUUGUGUCAAUGUCCUUCAGUCUUCAACCUCGGAGAUGAAAUUUGAACUGCUCUUGGGGGCAGGAUGUCAGCUUCCUGGAAAAACAACAGACUCUGUCGCCUGGAACUGAGUGGCAACAUCCAAGCUGUGAGGUGAGAGCUGAAGCAGCCUGGGUGGUAGAGAUCAGGAGCUUAAGGCCUUGGGGUCUACACCCGCACAGGCGGCAAGCUGGAAGGCUCCAUACUCUGGGUCCCUUUCUGGCCAUUCAUUUAUGAAUGUCAUCAAUUCAAAGAGUAGGGAAGACAGUCACAAUGCAAUGACACUGGAAAUGCCCUGAAAUUGUCAGCCCAUUAUGAAAAAUGUAUAUACUAGAGAUUUUCUCAAAUUCGACAAUAUCCUAAGGUUCACAUGGUAUUUCCAACAAUGAGUCAUAAAACUAAAAUAAAGUACUAAACCAUUAAUAUUAAAAACACAUUUUUAAUCAAUCAUGGUAGAGGAAAGAAUGAAUUCACUUUCUGGACUCUUUAGCAAAUGAUAUUGCAACAUUGUUGAUAUAUGAAAAGGCAAUCAAAGAGCAUGCAGCUGAAAUGGGGGUAGGGAAAGGACU